rnacentral:rRNA from 1 species
AUUGAACGCUGGCGGCAGGCCUAACACAUGCAAGUCGAACGAGUGGCGGACGGGUGAGUAAUGUCUGGGAAACUGCACGAUGGAGGCGGAUAACUAAUGGAAACGGUAGCUAAUACCGCACAACAUCACCUGUGCCCAGAUGGCUAUUGCUGGUUGGUGGGGUAACGGCUCACCAAGGCGACGAUCCCUAGCUGGUCUGAGAGGAUGACCAGCCACACUGGAACUGAGACACGGUCCAGACUCCUACGGGAGGCAGCAGUGGGGAAUAUUGCACAAUGGGCGCAAGCCUGAUGCAGCCCUGCCGCGUGUAUGAAGAAGGCCUGCGGGUUGUAAAGUACUUUCAGCGGGGAGGCGUUACCCGCAGAAGAAGCACCGGCUAACUCCGUGCCAGCAGCCGCGGUAAUAC